AAGAGUACUAAGUUAAUAGAGUUAAAACUAUAGGUCUUCAAAACCUAAAAUAGAAAAAUGAAUUCUGUACUUU
rnacentral:tRNA from 1 species